rnacentral:rRNA from 1 species
GUAGGGAAUAUUGCGCAAUGGACGAAAGUCUGACGCAGCGACGCCGCGUGAGUGAUGAAGGCCUUAGGGUCGUAAAGCUCUGUUGAAUGGGAAGAAAAAAAUGACGGUACCAUUCGAGGAAGGACCGGCUAACUUCGUGCCAGCAGCCGCGGUAAUACGAGGGGACCUAGCGUUGUUCGGAAUCAUUGGGCGUAAAGGGUGUGUAGGUGGCGAUGUAAGGCAGGUGAGAAAGCCCCGGGCGCAACCCGGGAAGUGCACUUGAGACUGCGUGGCUUGAGUACCGAAGAGGGUAGUGGAAUUCCAGGUGUAGUGGUGAAAUACGUAGAUAUCUGGAGGAACACCGGUGGCGAAGGCGGCUACCUGGUCGAGUACUGACACUGAGACACGAAAGCAUGGGGAUCAAACAGGAUUAGAAACCCUGGUAGUCC